CGCGCGGAAAACAGACAAGCUAAACAUAGCACUCUCAAUCUCAACAAUCGAUUAUUAAAACAUCCGCAAAGUACUUCGAGGCAAAACCAACAUAUUGAACACCCUAAAACUCUACCAAGCCAAACCUGGAAGAUCUGGAGGAGAACAUCGACGGGUGCUUCGAUCGUGUAGUGGCGGGCAAGUCACCCAAGACGCCGAACCCCAAGCGGAGCCACCCGGAAGACUCACCUAGAGAGAUAUCGCCACCAGGCACUGACAUCAGAGACAUCCUCGAUUCCAUCGAUAAGAGGCUGUUUUGCUUGGACGGCCGCCUCGCUCUCGUCGAGGUGCUCCAUAAAGAAUUCCAGGCCAUCCGUGAAUCUCUGGACUUCAGCCAAAAUCAGAUCGUCUCCUCGGGUGAGGAAGACCCGUAAGAAUCUGAGUGCCGUCAUGGCGCGGCAGCUCAAACUCAUCCAAAACAUCACUUUUCACCGCGUCCACCGCCUGGGAGCUAAAGAACCGAAGGCCGAGACCCAUCGUGGAAAAAUGCAAACACUUUAAGCAGAAGGAACAGGUAAAGAGCCAAGGCCGGGAGCUGAAGGGGUCGGACUUCAGCUUUAUCGACCAAUUUCCUCGAGAAAUCCUCGACAGACGCCGACGUCUGUUCGGAAGAAGUUCAUUGACGAGGGGUGCCGAGCUGUUAUCACGGUGGAUAAACUCUUCGUCAAUAGACAACUAUACCGCGACCGGGAAGCCACACCAUAGUUGUACUAAUCACCCUAAUAUGGUAAUUGACCAUCUAAUACUAAGCAGAUGCAGUUUGAUGGUUAUUGUUCUGCAGUCGGCACCAGUAAGGGCCUGGAUUUGGGUGAAAGACCAGUGUCAUGAUGGACAGCCAAUCGGAUCCUCCAGCGCAGAGGAUGGCGGGUCAUCCGGAGAGCAUCUUGUCCUGUGGGCUUCUGUCCUGCAUGCAGCUCUUAUGCACGACAGGCAGAGGGUGGGCCUCCGUGUUGAAGACCCAGUCCUCCAGGGGGAGGAGGUCGUCGUCGGAGAAGAGCAGGUACAGAUACCUGAGGAGGAGAAGGAGAUGGAGGUCAGCAGAAUAUCAUAAAUCCUCCCGAGGCUGGGAGCAGUACAAGAACGGCAGUGCAACCUGAUUGGACGCUCCCCUGUCAGCGUUACUAAAUGCACUGAACAUGUUAACAGUUGGGUACGGGUCGGUGCUGAGACUCACCUCCCCAAGUUGAUGACUCCUCGCGGGAUCCCUGUCGGCGUGUUGAAGGCAGGUAACAACUUCUGACCCAACUGUAGCACUUUAUUCUUGAAGAGCUGCAAGGACAACACAGACAUUUGGCUCUCAGUGGAUUGAGCAGCACACGACUUUAAGACACAUUUUAAAGCCAUCUUGUACAGAGUGCACUUUUUCUCGGAGGCCAUGGCAAAGCUAAUGGCUCAUCAAUCACUAAAUUGUCCAUUUAGUGUCUGGGAACAAAGGAGGACAGUCAAGUGUGUGAUAUUGAAGAGAGGAAGCAAAGAAAAGGCCUUACAGGCAAAGAAUAGAUAGAACAUCUAUGAGAGGGCAAAAGAAAAGUUUGGAAAAGUUUACCACGGUGGGAAUGUGUUGUGUUUUAUGCAUGAUUCUUAGUCAUCACAGAACCCCCUGAGGCUUCUGUAGCUUUUCACAUGCUCUUGUUGAAAUCAUCAAAAACAAAAUGAAUAUAGGUACCAAUAUGUCAGUGCUUCAAUAAGCAAGCAUUAAUACAUAUUUAAAGCAUGCUAUUUUUUAACAUGUAUAUGUUUUAAGUAAAAAACAAAACUGCCAACUACAGAAAAGGACUAACUGAAGUUAUUUUCUAUUCGGCUAAACCAUUACCAAAUAAGAGCAAGCAUGAUUAAAAUCAGUAUUUUAUUGUAAAUAAUAUUAUAUCCAUCCAUCCAUCUUCUACCGCUUAUCUGAGGUCAGGUUGCGGGGGCAGCGGCCUUAGCAUGGAAGCCCAGACUUCCCUCUCCCCGGCCACUUCGUCCAGCUCCUCCCGGCAGAGCCCGAGGCGUUCCCAGGCCAGUUGAAACAUAGUUUCUCCAACGUGUCUUUGGUCUUCCCCGAGGCCUCCUACCGGUCGGACGUGCCCUGAACACCUCCCCAGGGAGACGUUAUUUAAAGGAUAGUUUAUAGCUCCAGCAGAAGUUGCCUCUAAUCAAUAUGCUGAUUUAAAUCACCAUUUUCACAAGGCCCAUAGAAUAACAGUGGCAUCACUGUGCAGACUCAGCGGUCAAUCUGCAUAUAUAUUAAAAAUAAUAUCUUAUUUGCCAA